GUAGUCCUGGCUGUAAACGAUGUCGACUUGGAGGUUGUGCCCUUGAGGCGUGGCUUCCGGAGCUAACGCGUUAAGUCGACCGCCUGGGGAGUACGGCCGCAAGGUUAAAACUCAAAUGAAUUGACGGGGGCCCGCACAAGCGGUGGAGCAUGUGGUUUAAUUCGAUGCAACGCGAAGAACCUUACCUGGUCUUGACAUCCACGGAAGUUUUCAGAGAUGAGAAUGUGCCUUCGGGAACCGUGAGACAGGUGCUGCAUGGCUGUCGUCAGCUCGUGUUGUGAAAUGUUGGGUUAAGUCCCGCAACGAGCGCAACCCUUAUCCUUUGUUGCCAGCGGUCCGGCCGGGAACUCAAAGGAGACUGCCAGUGAUAAACUGGAGGAAGGUGGGGAUGACGUCAAGUCAUCAUGGCCCUUACGACCAGGGCUACACACGUGCUACAAUGGCGCAUACAAAGAGAAGCGACCUCGCGAGAGCAAGCGGACCUCAUAAAGUACGUCGUAGUCCGGAUUGGAGUCUGCAACUCGACUCCAUGAAGUCGGAAUCGCUAGUAAUCGUGGAUCAGAAUGCCACGGUGAAUACGUUCCCGGGCCUUGUACACACCGCCCGUCACACCAUGGGAGUGGGUUGCAAAAGAAGUAGGUAGCUUAACCUUCGGGAGGGCGCUUACCACUUUGUGAUUCAUGACUGGGGUGAAGUCGUAACAAGGUAACCGUAGGGGAACCUGCGGCUGGAUCACCUCC
rnacentral:rRNA from 1 species